rnacentral:rRNA from 1 species
AACGAACGCUGGCGGCGUGUUUAAGACAUGCAAGUCGCACGGGAUAAGACAUGUAGUAAUACUUGUUUUAUUUAGUGGCGCACGGGUGAGUAACACGUGAAUUACAUGCCCUAUAGUGGGGAAUAGCCCAGGGAAACUUGGAUUAAUACCCCAUGGUAUCGAAAGAUUAAAGGUGGCCGCAAGGCUGUCGCUAUAGGAUUGGUUCGCGCCCUAUCAGCUUGUUAGUGAGGUAACGGCUCACCAAGGCAAUGACGGGUACCUGGUCUGAGAGGACGAUCAGGCACACUGGAACUGAGACACGGUCCAGACACCUACGGGUGGCAGCAGUCGAGAAUAAUUCACAAUGGGGGCAACCCUGAUGGUGCAACGCCGCGUGGAGGAUGACGGUCUUCGGAUUGUAAACUCCUGUCAUCUGGGAGGAAGACCUGACGGUAAAUAGCCGGCAGGGUUGAUAGUACCAGAAGAGGAAGGGACGGCUAACUUCGUGCCAGCAGCCGCUGUAA